UACGUAGGGUACAAGCGUUGUCCGGAAUUAUUGGGCGUAAAGAGCUCGUAGGCGGUCUGUCACGUCGGAUGUGAAAAUCCAGGGCUUAACCCUGGACCUGCAUUCGAUACGGGCAGACUAGAGUUCGGUAGGGGAGACUGGAAUUCCUGGUGUAGCGGUGAAAUGCGCAGAUAUCAGGAGGAACACCAGAGUGAAGGCAGCUCGCUGGGACGUACUGACGCUGAGACGCGAAAGCGUGGGGAGCAAACAGGAUUAGAACCUACGAG
rnacentral:rRNA from 1 species